UUUCCUUGAGUUCGCGAACGGGGUGAGUAACGCGUAGGUAACCUGCCUAUUAGCGGGGGAUAACUAUUGGAAACGAUAGCUAAUACCGCAUAAUAUUAAUUAUUGCAUGAUAAUUGAUUGAAAGAUGCAAGCGCAUCACUAGUAGAUGGACCUGCGUUGUAUUAGCUAGUUUGGUAAGGUAAGAGCUUACCAAGGCGACGAUACAUAGCCGACCUGAGAGGGUGAUCGGCCACACUGGGACUGAGACACGGCCCAGACUCCUACGGGAGGCAGCAGUAGGGAAUCUUCGGCAAUGGGACGAAAAGUCUGACCCGAGCAAACGCCCGCGUGAGUGAAAGAAGGGUUUUCGGAUUCGUAAAAGCUUCUGGUGUAAG
rnacentral:rRNA from 1 species